ensembl:snoRNA small nucleolar RNA SNORA57
CCUCCCUCUUGGCAUGCUCGUGGUUUUCUGUACCCUUGUGUGUAUGUACGGAGGAAUAAAAGAGCCAGUGUAUGUCUUCGGUGCCAGCGUGUUCCCCAUCGGCUGGUUCUAUCCUCAAUCACUGGGACAUGU